rnacentral:rRNA from 1 species
AUGAAAAGCGGACCCCCAGCACACAUACACACGCAAGGGGGAAGAAGAACUGAAGUCGAUCCUCAACUGCGAAUCUGUUGUGAUCUUGUAAUGACGGAGCUGACGGAAGAGAAAACCUGGCUGGCCGACAAGCUGCAGCAUUGCAUCGGUGAUGACAUCUUCGGAGUACCUGACGGCGCGACGGCGGCGUGCUGGGACUGCAGCAUCUGCCUGGAGACGGCGACGGAGCCGGUGGUGACGCUGUGCGGCCACCUCUACUGCUGGCCCUGCAUCUUCCGCUGGCUCACCACCUCCUCCAAGUCCAAGUCCCGCGCCUCGUCCUCCGCGCGCUGCCCCGUCUGCAAGGCCGCCGUCUCCGAGGACCACCUCGUGCCGCUCUACGGCCGCGCCGCCGCCACCCUAAGCCCGGCCGGAGGCAGAGGAGGCAGGGUUUGUCAGGUACCCCGUGGUCUGCCGGUGCCGGGGGCGGGGCCGAACGUGGAGCGCCUUCAGGAGCCGGACUUGCACGACGGCGGCAACUUCUACUACUACGAGAAUAUUGGCAUCAAUGGCCUGGACUGCUCCAACGCGGAGCGCUUGCUCGGCGGCAUCGCGCUGGCGGUGUUACUCCCAUGGGCGACGAGGGGCGGUGGGAGGCCACCACCGCCGUCCUUGUACCGCGACGGCGAGGGCUGGAGGAUGGCGCGCCAGCAGAGGCGGGUGGCGCGCAGGUUGUGGCAGCUAUGGGUGUUCCUCGCCAUGGUGGCGUUCCUCUGCUUCCUUCUUCUUUGA